rnacentral:rRNA from 1 species
GACGAACGCUGGCGGCGUGCUUAACACAUGCAGGUCGAACGGUGAAGCGCCUUCCUUUUUGGUGGGUGUGGAGGAGUGGCGAACGGGUGAGUAACACUGGAGUAACCUGCCCCCUUCUUCUGGAUAACCGCAUGAAAGAGUGGCUAAAACGGGAUAUUCUGGGUCUGUCGCAUGAUUGGUCUGGUAAAGAUAUUGUUUCGGUGGGGGAUGGGCUCGCGGCCUAUCAGGUUGUUGGUGGGUUGAUGGCCUACCAAGGGGGUGACGGGUAGCCGGCCUGGGAGGGUGGACGGUCACACAGGGAGUCCGACAAGACUGAGACUGAGAUGCGAGGCAGAAGUGUGGAAUAGUGAACAAUGGGCGAAAGUCUGAUGCAGCGAGGCCGCGUGAGCGACGGAGGCCUUCGGGUUGUGAACGUCUUUCGCUAGUGAAGCAGGCCUGCCUCGUGUGUGGGUGGGUUGACGGUAGCUGGAUAAGAAGCGCCGGCUAACUACGUG